rnacentral:rRNA from 1 species
CCUACGGGGGGCAGCAGUGGGGAAUAUUGGACAAUGGGGGCAACCCUGAUCCAGCCAUGCCGCGUGUGUGAAGAAGGCCCUCGGGUUGUAAAGCACUUUCAGUGAGGAAGAACGCCUGGUGGUUAAUACCCAUCAGGAAAGACAUCACUCACAGAAGAAGCACCGGCUAACUCCGUGCCAGCAGCCGCGGUAAUACGGAGGGUGCGAGCGUUAAUCGGAAUUACUGGGCGUAAAGCGCGCGUAGGUGGCUUGAUAAGCCGGUUGGGAAAGCCCCGGGCUCAACCUGGGAACGGCAUCCGGAACUGUCAAGCUAGAGUGCAGGAGAGGAAGGUAGAAUUCCCGGUGUAGCGGUGAAAUGCGUAGAGAUCGGGAGGAAUACCAGUGGCGAAGGCGGCCUUCUGGACUGACACUGACACUGAGGUGCGAAAGCGUGGGUAGCAAACAGGAUUAGAUACCCGUGUAGUC